GAUGAACGCUGGCGGCGUGCCUAAUACAUGCAAGUCGAGCGAACAGACGAGGAGCUUGCUUCUCUGACGUUAGCGGCGGACGGGUGAGUAACACGUGGAUAACCUACCUAUAAGACUGGGAUAACUUCGGGAAACCGGAGCUAAUACCGGAUAAUAUAUUGAACCGCAUGGUUCAAUAGUGAAAGACGGUUUUGCUGUCACUUAUAGAUGGAUCCGCGCCGCAUUAGCUAGUUGGUAAGGUAACGGCUUACCAAGGCAACGAUGCGUAGCCGACCUGAGAGGGUGAUCGGCCACACUGGAACUGAGACACGGCCCAGACUCCUACGGGAGGCCGCAGUAGGGAAUCUUACGCAAUGGGGGAAAGCCUGACGGAGCAACGCCGCGGGAGUGAUGAAGGUGUUCGGAUCGUAAAACUAUGUUAUUAGGGAAGAACAAAUGUGUAAGUAACUAUGCACGUCUUGACGGUACCUAAUCAGAAAGCCACGGCUAACUACGUG
rnacentral:rRNA from 1 species